UACCUGGUUGAUCCUGCCAGUAGUUAUAUGCUUGUCUCAAAGAUUAAGCCAUGCAUGUCUAAGUACACACGAAUUAAAAGUGAAACCGCAAAAGGCUCAUUAUAUCAGUUAUGGUUCCUUAGAUCGUUAACAGUUACUUGGAUAACUGUGGUAAUUCUAGAGCUAAUACAUGCAAUUAAAACAUGAACCUUAUGGGACAUGUGCUUUUAUUAGGCUAAAUCCAAGCGAUCGCAAGAUCGUUAUAUUGGUUGAACUCUAGAUAACAUGCAGAUCGUAUGGUCUUGUACCGAUGACAGAUCUUUCAAAUGUCUGCCCUAUCAACUUUUGAUGGUAGUAUCUAGGACUACCAUGGUUGCAACGGGUAACGGGGAAUCAGGGUUCGAUUCCGGAGAGGGAGCCU
rnacentral:rRNA from 1 species